rnacentral:lncRNA from 1 species
GUAAUGUAAUGGCCUUCUAAGCACUGCAAGGUGGCAGUCACUCACAGAUAUGGCCUGUUAGGCCCUCCACUUAAUGAGCAGGUGGUGCUGUCACCUCACUACAUAUAUGACACCUAUGCCCUAUGCUGUUCCCCAUCUCUAGUUUCUCACCAGUGGUCCAGACUAGUUAAGAAUCCAUCUACAACAUGGGCCAGGCUUAUUUGCAUUCGAGUAUAGAGGUGUUUCUUUUUUUAAUGGAAAUAAUUGGGAAGCCACAAUUGUAUGUUUAACAUGUCAUCCUGCCCCUAUCCUCCACUCCCAGUUAUAAAAAGACCAUUCUUUUUUAAAACAGUUUUGGACUAACAAAGCCUGUUUUGUCAAGGAGGAAAAUCGGAAUAGUUAUUUGUGAUAAAUCUGUGUCAAGGGCAACAGGUGUGGUCCUCUGAUAACUUCAUUAAGGAAAGAUAAAUUUGCAAGUUGACACUAAAAAGUGUGUGCCCUAGAUAACUGAAGUAGAAUUCCUUACUGGUAGCCAUGCUUCUAUUGAAUAGGCUUUUCAGGUUUCUGACCAUUCAUACAAAAUGUGUUUUGAGCAAUGGGUGUGAAUGAAGCCAUCACUUGACUGGCAUUCACUUUUCAGAACUGCACAGCACGGACAGCACCCGUGAGCCCGAGGUCUGCGCUCUUACUGCACUGGUUGGUAUUUACGUCCAUGUGACUUAUUUCACUUUUAAAUAUUUUAAGAGAUGACUUGUACCACAGCUAGACUUUGAUGUCAGAGUGAGCCAUUUGCAAAUCUGUCCUGUGUUAGGCAAACAGGAUUGCGCUGGAGUGGGGAGCUAGGAAAGUGGCACAGCUGCUUGAGACCGUGCUGUGUCAGCAGCAGGGCUGCAGUGGCUGCAGUGGUGCAGUCAGCUCUGGGUGCUGCACCCUUGCAUGCCUGUGGGUUGGUGCUUUCCAGCUGCUUGCUGUUGCAAAUGCUGUCAUUUCUAGAAAAGCAUACUUGCAGAGUAAUUUUUAAAACCAUGUCAACUUCAUCUAUAUAUAAUAAUUUUCCUGGCCCCUCUUUGAAUUGUGUAUCAAGGCAAAAAUAGAACCUCUGUGGGUGGCACCCCUCUAAUCCCAGCACUUGGAAGGCUGAGGCAGGAGGAUUUAAGUUUGAGGCCAUUCUGAGCUAUGAUAUAUAGUAGGUUCCUGGCAGCCUACCUACAGAGUGAGGCUAACACAGAGUGUGUGGGCCCUGCUGAAGCACUGGAAGGUGACCACUGUUUUCCAUCUCCAGUUGCCCUGCCUCCUCUUCCUUCCUCUUUCCUUUGACCUGUGGCAGAAGGCCAGGCACCAGUCAGCAGUCCCGAAUCUGCUCGUGGGUUUGCCCACUGGUACUUCUAAGCUCAGCUCUACUCUUGACCUAUUAUUUGGCUCGUUGAGGAGUGAAGCACAUGCAAGGCUGUCUUUCUGAAGGCCUAGUUUAUGUGAAUUUCAAAGAAGAAAUUGCCUGGAUUCCUUGGGGCUGCUCAGUCACCAGCCCCAUCUAUCACUCUGCCACUGCCCAGGUCUCUCUCUCUCUCUCUCUCUCUCUCUCUCUCUCUCUCUCUCUCUCUCUCUCUCUCUCUCUUUCUCUCUCUCUCUCUCCCUCCUUUUUUUUUUUUCUGAGCCAUGUGUGAAGUCCUCAACUUCUCAGCUGAUCCAUAAGAAAAACCAUCUAGAGAUUUUUUUUUCCUUUGUAGUUCUUAAAAAGUGAUUCCCACUGCAAUGGACCAGUCUUAAGGCUUCUGUGCACAGAGAUGUGGGAAAAUUAUUAUGUUUGGUCAGGGAGAGCUCUGUUGCACCCUCGUUGUGCUUGUCUUCUUGAUGAACACUCGCUGUGCAUUCCUGAGUCAUAACUCCUGUAUUCCAGAACCUUUGCCGUUUUCUGUCUCCCAUGAAAACAGCAGUCAUCAGUGUUUUUGACAAGCUUGCAUUUAGUAUUGAUUUAUAAAUAGAGAUUAUCUAAAUAUCAGCUUUUAAAAGCAAACUUUUUUUGUUGUUCCACUUUCCAAGGGUCAUUUAAUAAAGCAAACACUACAGUUUACUAAACUCAAGAAGUCGGUUAAACACGGGUGCGUUAACACUGAGUUGGGGUUUUAUGGUGUAACAUUGUCUCUAGCCUUCCUUUGGAUGCAAAGAAUAAAUGCAGCAGCUACACUC